rnacentral:piRNA from 1 species
UGUCCUUCAGAACACUUCUCUGUGCUCA